CACGUAGGGCGCGAGCGUUGUCCGGAAUUAUUGGGCGUAAAGAGCUCGUAGGCGGCCUGUUGCGUCCGUUGUGAAAGCCCGGGCUUAACCCCGGGUCGGCAGUGGAUACGGGCAGGCUAGAGGUAGGUAGGGAGAAUGGAAUUCCCGUGUAGCGGUGAAAUGCGCAGAUAUCGGGAGGAACACCGGUGGCGAAGGCGGUUCUCUGGGCCUUACCUGACGCUGAGGAGCGAAAGCGUGGGGAGCGAACAGG
rnacentral:rRNA from 1 species